GGCAGUGCAGUACUAGCUUGCCUGUACAGGGCUAUGUGCUGGGGUUUUUAUACUGACCAGAGCGAGAUUGGUGGUUAUCUUGUGUUAUUACAGGUAUGUGAAUUAAAAAUUUAUAUGUUUAAUAUUUUUAAAAAUUUAAUAUUGUAGCUUUGAUUUGAUAUAUCAGGUAUGAUUUUUUUUAAAAUUUAUAGAUUUGGGCAUGGGAGAAG
rnacentral:lncRNA from 1 species